rnacentral:rRNA from 1 species
GACGAACGCUGGCGGCGUGCCUAAUACAUGCAAGUAGAACGCUAAAGGAGGAGCUUGCUCUUCUGGAUGAGUUGCGAACGGGUGAGUAACGCGUAGGUAACCUGCCUGGUAGCGGGGGAUAACUAUUGGAAACGAUAGCUAAUACCGCAUAACAGUAGAUGUUGCAUGACAUUUGCUUAAAAGGUGCAAUUGCACCACUACCAGAUGGACCUGCGUUGUAUUAGCUAGUUGGUGGGGUAACGGCUCACCAAGGCGACGAUACAUAGCCGACCUGAGAGGGUGAUCGGCCACACUGGGACUGAGACACGGCCCAGACUCCUACGGGAGGCAGCAGUAGGGAAUCUUCGGCAAUGGACGGAAGUCUGAACGAGCAACGCCGCGUGAGUGAAGAAGGUUUUCGGAUCGUAAAGCUCUGUUGUAAGAGAAGAACGAGUGUGAGAGUGGAAAGUUCACACUGUGACGGUAUCUUACCAGAAAGGGACGGCUAACUACGUG